rnacentral:rRNA from 1 species
UACGGAGGGUGCAAGCGUUUAUCCGGAUUCACUGGGUUUAAAGGGUGCGUAGGUGGGUUGGUAAGUCAGUGGUGAAAUCCCCGAGCUUAACUUGGGAACUGCCAUUGAUACUAUCAGUCUUGAAUACUGUGGAGGUCAGCGGAAUAUGUCAUGUAGCGGUGAAAUGCUUAGAUAUGACAUAGAACACCAAUUGCGGAGGCAGCUGGCUACACAAAUAUUGACACUCAGGCACGAAAGCGUGGGGAUCAAACAGG